rnacentral:rRNA from 1 species
GUGCCAGCAGCCGCGGUAAUACAGAGGUGCCAAGCGUUGUUCGGAUUUAUUGGGCGUAAAGGGUGCGUAGGCGGUGAUGCAAGUCGGGUGUGAAAUACCGGAGCCUAACUCCGGAACGGCAUCCGAAACUGCAUUGCUAGAGGUCUGGAGAGGUGAUUGGAAUUCUCGGUGUAGCAGUGAAAUGCGUAGAUAUCGAGAGGAACACCAGAGGCGAAGGCGAAUCACUAGACAGUACCUGACGCUGAGGCGCGAAGGCUAGGGGAGCAAACGGGAUUAGAUACCCCGGUAGUCC